GCCUGAUGCAGCGACGCCGCGUGAGGGAUGACGGCCUUCGGGUUGUAAACCUCUUUCACCAGGGACGAAGCGCAAGUGACGGUACCUGGAGAAGAAGCACCGGCCAACUACGUGCCAGCAGCCGCGGUAAUACGUAGGGUGCGAGCGUUGUCCGGAAUUACUGGGCGUAAAGAGCUCGUAGGUGGUUUGUCGCGUUGUUCGUGAAAACUCACAGCUCAACUGUGGGCGUGCGGGCGAUACGGGCAGACUGGAGUACUGCAGGGGAGACUGGAAUUCCUGGUGUAGCGGUGGAAUGCGCAGAUAUCAGGAGGAACACCGGUGGCGAAGGCGGGUCUCUGGGCAGUAACUGACGCUGAGGAGCGAAAGCGUGGGGAGCGAACAGGAUUAGAUACCCUGGUAGUCCACGCCGUAAACGGUGGGUACUAGGUGUGGGUUUCCUUCCUUGGGAUCCGUGCCGUAGCUAACGCAUUAAGUACCCCGCCUGGGGAGUACGGCCGCAAGGCUAAAACUCAAAGAAAUUGACGGGGGCCCGCACAAGCGGCGGAGCAUGUGGAUUAAUUCGAUGCAACGCGAAGAACCUUACCUGGGUUUGACAUGCACAGGACGUGCCUAGAGAUAGGUAUUCCCUUGUGGCCU
rnacentral:rRNA from 2 species